rnacentral:rRNA from 1 species
UGGGGAAUAUUGCACAAUGGGCGCAAGCCUGAUGCAGCCAUGCCGCGUGUAUGAAGAAGGCCUUCGGGUUGUAAAGUACUUUCAGCGGGGAGGAAGGCGAUAAGGUUAAUAACCUUGUCGAUUGACGUUACCCGAAGAAGAAGCACCGGCUAACUCCGUGCCAGCAGCCGCGGUAAUACGGAGGGUGCAAGCGUUAAUCGGAAGUACUGGGCGUAAAGCGCACGCAGGCGGUCUGUCAAGUCGGAUGUGAAAUCCCCGGGCUCAACCUGGGAACUGCAUUCGAAACUGGCAGGCUAGAGUCUUGUAGAGGGGGGUAGAAUUCCAGGUGUAGCGGUGAAAUGCGUAGAGAUCUGGAGGAAUACCGGUGGCGAAGGCGGCCCCCUGGACAAAGACUGACGCUCAGGUGCGAAAGCGUGGGGAGCAAACA